rnacentral:sRNA from 1 species
GUGCGGAAAGGGAAGAGCUCUCCCUCUC